rnacentral:rRNA from 1 species
GACAGAGGUGCCGAGCGUUAUGCGGAAUCACUGGGCUUAAAGCGUGUGUAGGCGGAUCGUUAAGUACCUUGUGAAAUCCCCCGGCUCAACCGGGGAACUGCUGGGUAUACUGGCGAUCUUGAGCAAUCUAGGGGCAGAUGGAACAAGUGGUGGAGCGGUGAAAUGCGUAGAUAUCACUUGGAACGCCAAAGGUGAAAACAGUCUGCUGGGGAUUUGCUGACGCUGAGACACGAAAGCCAGGGGAGCGAACGGG